GCCCUUAUAGUUUAAUGGAUAGAACAGUUGCCUCCUAAGCGACAGAUCCAGGUUCGAUUCCUGGUAGGGGUA
rnacentral:tRNA from 1 species